GGCCGGUAUAGACCGAUGGCCAUCGUCAGCGAAUGAAAUUUCCGAGUUUGACGGACAUGACGUUAGUUAUUCUUGAGAGCAUAUUAUCCGUAAUUUCCAGGUUAAUGAAUGGCCAUGGGUUAUGUACAUUGCAAAAAAAUAAAAAAGACUUUGGAUUUUAAACGAGAUGAAGUAAACUGUCAUAGCAACUGAUGUUUUGGAAAAAUUGAACAUUCCUGUAAUCAGUGUUGCUGGUUCUCUCUCCUCUUUAUUACAAAUUCCAGCUGGAAGACACCAAGUGAAAAUUUUGUCAAGAAAAAUUCUCUGGAGCCAUGUGAAUAAUAACACACCCUGAAUUGAUAUGAAAACAAAUUAUUGCUUCAUAAUAAAGCUGAAGAUUCGUAACAAUUA